GUCGAGCGGUAGCACAAGAGAGCUUGCUCUCGGGGUGACGAGCGGCGGACGGGUGAGUAAUGUCUGGGAAACUGCCUGAUGGAGGGGGAUAACUACUGGAAACGGUAGCUAAUACCGCAUAAYGUCGCAAGACCAAAGUGGGGGACCUUCGGGCCUCAUGCCAUCAGAUGUGCCCAGAUGGGAUUAGCUAGUAGGUGGGGUAACGGCUCACCUAGGCGACGAUCCCUAGCUGGUCUGAGAGGAUGACCAGCCACACUGGAACUGAGACACGGUCCAGACUCCUACGGGAGGCAGCAGUGGGGAAUAUUGCACAAUGGGCGCAAGCCUGAUGCAGCCAUGCCGCGUGUGUGAAGAAGGCCUUCGGGUUGUAAAGCACUUUCAGCGGGGAGGAAGGCGGUGAGGUUAAUAACCUYAUCGAUUGACGUUACCCGCAGAAGAAGCACCGGCUAACUCCGUGCCAGCAGCCGCGGUAAUACGGAGGGUGCAAGCGUUAAUCGGAAUUACUGGGCGU
rnacentral:rRNA from 1 species